rnacentral:rRNA from 1 species
GUGAGGAAUUUUCCGCAAUGGGCGAAAGCCUGACGGAGCAAUGCCGCGUGAAGGAUGAAGGCCUAUGGGUUGUAAACUUCUUUUCUCAGAAAAGAAUUAUGACGGUAUCUGAGGAAUAAGCAUCGGCUAACUCUGUGCCAGCAGCCGCGGUAAGACAGAGGAUGCAAGCGUUAUCCGGAAUGAUUGGGCGUAAAGCGUCUGUAGGUUGUUUAAAAAGUAUUCUGUCAAAGAUUAGGGCUUAACCCUAGAUAGGCAGAAUAAACUUUUAAGCUAGAGUUUGGUAGAGGCAGAGGGAAUUCCCGGUGGAGCGGUGAAAUGCGUAGAUAUCGGGAGGAACACCAAAGGCGAAGGCACUCUGCUGGGCCAAUACUAACACUGAGAGACGAGAGCGAGGGGAGCAAAUGGGAUUAGAUACCCUUGUAGUCC